AUUGAACGCUGGCGGCAGGCUUAACACAUGCAAGUCGAACGAGUGGCGGACGGGUGAGUAAUGCCUGGGAAUCUAGCUUAUGGAGGGGGAUAACUACGGGAAACUGUAGCUAAUACCGCGUACCAUAGGAUGAGCCCAAGUGGGAUUAGGUAGUUGGUGGGGUAAAGGCUCACCAAGCCGACGAUCCCUAGCUGGUCUGAGAGGAUGACCAGCCACACUGGAACUGAGACACGGCCCAGACUCCUACGGGAGGCAGCAGUGGGGAAUAUUGCGCAAUGGGGGCAACCCUGACGCAGCCAUGCCGCGUGUAUGAAGAAGGCCUUAGGGUUGUAAAGUACUUUCAGUGGGGAGGCGUUACCGGCAGAAGAAGCACCGGCUAACUCCGUGCCAGCAGCCGCGGUAAUAC
rnacentral:rRNA from 1 species